UAAUUUGACAUUUAUCAAUGUUUUUCGUCUCCCUUAGGUGUGAACCGAGCCGUUGAUCUGUGUGCAGCUCCCGGCAGCUGGAGUCAGGUCCUCAGUCGGAAACUCAGAGGUCAGGAGGAGAAGGGUGAGACGCGGGAGGAGGUGAAGAUCGUGGCGGUGGACUUGCAGGCCAUGGCUCCUCUCCCCGGAGUCACUCAGAUCCAGGGAGACA